GACGAACGCUGGCGGCGUGCCUAACACAUGCAAGUCGAACGGAACCUUCCUGUUUUUUUGCGCUCCUCUACUUGCCACCUGGUAACUUACCCUUGGGUUACCUAUCCCUCCCUUUGUGAUAUCUUCAUGCAGCUUCGUCUCUUCCCGCCUAAGAUCUCUUGCUUCUUGGUGGGCCUUCGUUGGUUUCGGCGGUUGGUGGUGUACUGGCGGCUUAUCAGCUUGUUGGUUGGGUAGUGGCUUAGCAUGGCUUUGACGGGUAGCAGUCCUGCGAGGGUGAGCGGCGAAAUUGGAACUGAGAUACGGCCCAGACUAGUACGGGAGGCAGCAGUGGAGAAUAGUGCACAAUGGGAGGAAGCAUGAUGCAGCAACGCAGCGUGGGGGAAGAGGGGCAUGGGGUUGUAAAGCGAAUUCGCCUGUGACGAAGCGAGAGUGACGGUAAUGGGAAAAGAAGCACCGGCUAACUACGUG
rnacentral:rRNA from 1 species